AUAAAUUUGGCAGAAAAUUGUAUUAGAUUUAGAAUCUAAAUAUAGGAAUUAAAGCUUCCUAAUUUAUA
rnacentral:tRNA from 1 species